rfam:Fukomys damarensis contig121461, whole genome shotgun sequence.
GAGGGUGUAGCUCAGUGGCAGAGUGCUUGCCUGGCAUGUGUGAAGCCUUGGGUUCAAUUCCCAGAGCUCCCA